UCGAGCGGUAGAGAGAAGCUUGCUUCUCUUGAGAGCGGCGGACGGGUGAGUAAUGCCUAGGAAUCUGCCUAGUGGUGGGGGAUAACGUUCGGAAACGGACGCUAAUACCGCAUACGUCCUACGGGAGAAAGCGGGGGAUCUUCGGACCUCGCGCCAUUAGAUGAGCCUAGGUCGGAUUAGCUAGUUGGUGAGGUAAUGGCUCACCAAGGCGACGAUCCGUAACUGGUCUGAGAGGAUGAUCAGUCACACUGGAACUGAGACACGGUCCAGACUCCUACGGGAGGCAGCAGUGGGGAAUAUUGGACAAUGGGCGAAAGCCUGAUCCAGCCAUGCCGCGUGUGUGAAGAAGGUCUUCGGAUUGUAAAGCACUUUAAGUUGGGAGGAAGGGCAGUAACCUAAUACGUUAUUGCUUUGACGUUACCGACAGAAUAAGCACCGGCUAACUUCGUGCCAGCAGCCGCGGUAAUACGAAGGGUGCAAGCGUUAAUCGGAAUUACUGGGCGUAAAGCGCGCGUAGGUGGUUCAGUAAGUUGGAAGUGAAAUCCCCGGGCUCAACCUGGGAACUGCUUUCAAAACUGCUGAGCUAGAGUACGGUAGAGGGUGGUGGAAUUUCCUGUGUAGCGGUGAAAUGCGUAGAUAUAGGAAGGAACACCAGUGGCGAAGGCGACCACCUGGACUGAUACUGACACUGAGGUGCGAAAGCGUGGGGAGCAAACAGGAUUAGAUACCCUGGUAGUCCACGCCGUAAACGAUGUCAACUAGCCGUUGG
rnacentral:rRNA from 1 species